ACUCUCUGCACUCUCCCAGGAGCCAAACAAUAUCAGACAUGAUGCACUCAGGUACGGUGCUACCAUCAUGUUGUCCUCCCCUGCAUGACCAGCAGCUCCCUGGGCUGAGACGGAAUAUGAGGAGACUACAAAACCUCAUGCAACAGAACACAAUUUUGAAGGUCUUGGACUACUUUCUGAUGAAGUAAAGACAGAGCUUGUAGCGCCUGGAGAAAAAGCUGAAAGUCAGGCUGAAAGGUAUAGAAGAGGAAAUAAGUCAGCGGUAACUUCUCCUUAGCAACCAAAGGGAUUUUGGCUGUCAUUUUCUAUAAUACAGUACAAAUUUACUUACAUGUGUGAUUAUUAUAGUAUCCCAAUACAUUUUCUAAGAUUUGUUUGGUAA